GGGUGUGAUCAUACCAACACUAAUGCACCGGAUCCCAUCAGAGCUCCGAAGUUAAGCGUGCUUGGGCGAGAGUAGUACUAGGAUGGUUGACGUCCUAGUAUUGCAUCUA
rnacentral:rRNA from 1 species